UUUCCGUAGGUGAACCUGCGGAAGGAUCAUUAUGGAUAACUCAAGGAACGGAUGAAGGAACGGGAGGUGGUCUUGAUCCCCUCAUGAGCCUCGUCUGUGCCGUUGAAAUCACACCUGUGCACGCUUGAUGCCCGUUUACCCCUAAUUGCAAUAAUUAGGGGUUCACGGAAGCAUACGUCUUUUCACACGCUCAUGUAAUAGAAGAAUCUUAUGACCGCGACUGCGAGUCUAAAUUGAAAUGUGUAUUACUUUCAACAACGGAUCUCUUGGCUCUC
rnacentral:misc_RNA from 1 species